CUGUGUGUCUAGGGAGAAGAAUGUGGGAACUUCAAACAAUAACUUAAUGAUGGUUCAGGAAAUUCAGGAAAGACAGGCUGCUGUAGCUUUCUGCCCUUGGAGGAAGCCUCGAUGUAUUGCCCUUUGCAUCCGGAAUGAAAAGUUUGCUCAUGAAGCUGGAGGAAAACCUUAUGCUUUCAGAAGGUGACAUCUGAGCCUGCUUGAAUCAGCCUGUCCCCCUGUUUCUUCCAAAGAGUUCUAUUUUUCCUCAUUCUGCAGCCCUAGGUUCUAACCUGCUCUUGACUCACACUGGCCCACACCGCUGUAUCGUCUGCUUGGCUAGCACUCAGCCAGAUUUCACCUGGGCAUUGGGGUUGCUUCUAAGACCGACUGCCUCUUCAUCCUGACUGCAGCUGCUUCUUUCGUUGUCCUGAGUUUGUAUAUUUUGGUCUUCUUGAGUA